UCAAACCCAUUCAUCAUCUUUUUUUACUUUAUUUAUAUUUUCUAUUUGUCGAACAUGACAUACAAAGAAAAAAUGGGAGAAUCAAAUCAAAAUUUAUAUUUAUAAUUUCCAAAUGUAAAUAUAUAUAUGUAUAUAUUGUUGUGGCUCUGCUGGUUUUAUGGCUUUUGAAAAUUGCCUUGUUAGCGUGUAUAUAUAUCAAUGUGCUAAUAAAUUAUUCAAAAGCAUACCGCAUAAUCUUGAUCUAGGGAAUGACAAUCCUUGAUUACCUUAGUAGUGUGUACUUUUUGUACACGUGGUUUGCACUCCAAAAUCCUUGUGUGUAUACACGCUGCUGCAAGAAUUGUGUCUUGAUGGUGUCUUGUUAAAAUCAACAGGUUUUAUGGAGUAGUGAAGUCUUAUGACUCUGAACAUAAGAAAUAUGUGGUACUGUAUGAUGAUGGAGAUGUGGAAGUGCUCCGUUUAGAUAAAGAGCGUUGGGAGCUUGUUGACAAUGGUCACAAGCCUACAAAGAUUGUCUGAGAAGAACAUCUACAAGGUUUCAUUUUCAUUAUGAUUUAUCCUAAACAUUUGGCUUAUAAUAGUGUUAGUACAUUUUGAUUAUGUAAUUCUGUCUAGAUAUAUAACCUGUUUCAUAUACUAACCAUUAAAGCUUCAUUAAUUUGUUUAGGACCAUGGAACUGUUAGUUGAGUAUUGAAAGGGUAAAGAGUCCAUGAAAACCAACUAAAACAUUUUGUUUAUAAUGUUACAGAUAAUCAAAAUCAACUAAAACAUUUCUAACACCAAAAUUAUAAAUUAUGUGUUUACGGAAGCUUAAGCAGAAAUAUCUAUAAAUUUUCAGGUUGAGGAACUUGCUCGGUUAUCGUUAAUACAACUCCUGUCUAUAUUGAUGUGGAUGAUGGGCGGAAGAAGCAAGGUAGAGGGUGGCUUAACAAGUGCAAUUUCAACAAACUUGAACGAAGAAGGCCCUUUGCCCUCUAUAAAAUUGGUCAGAAAACAAUUCGGUGGAGACAAAUUUUGGAGAUAGGACAGUGAAAAGAAACCAAGACGAAGAGGAUGAUAUUCAUGAUCAAGAAGACUCGAAACCAAUGGAUGAAAGGGCAUUUUGGAGGAAGACAAUUGUUCAAACCUUGAAGAAAAACAAGAACGAGAAAAAAUAGAAGAAAAAUGAGCCUUUUAAAGGAAAAAGCAAAUUGAAGAGUGAUAAAACAGAGGAAAACAUAGGAGAAAGGGUGGACAAGUGUGAAAAACUUAAGACAUUUGAGGAGUUCUUCAUGGAUAAAUUUAAAUCCAUUGGAAAUGAUCUCAUCUUUUUUAUUCCAAUCUUGUACACCCACAUGCCAAUUUCUAUCAUUGGAAAUGAUCUCAUCUUUUUUAUUCCAAUCUUGUACACCCACA